GACUCUCCCAAGCGCUGAGUUGGGUGUUCGGCCCACGGCCUCUGGGGAAAACGAGCUCUCGGACCGAGCGGUCUCCCAAACCACGGGGCGCUGCCGAAGACUUACGACGGCCUAACCUCCGGCUCUUGGUAAAGAAGAGUUGAGCUCCAACUGGGCCUGAGCCACUAGAGACCAGUUGGCGAUCGUCUUGACAGGUAGAGAGAAACGACAGGAGGCAGCAGGAAGCCUGGGAAGGGACCACAGGAGAGGUACCUGGGGAAUCCAGAGCGCACGUGCAAGCCAUCCACAUUUUGGCUCACCAGGAACUUCAGGAUACCAAC